AGAAGGCACAGUUAAACGCUUAGUUAUAUGUGAAGAUCAAAAGUCAAGGGUUUUCGAAGAAUGCCAUUCGGCAACUUACGCAGGCCACAGUGGAAGAGACAAUACCUUCAAGAAGAUACGAGAUAGAUAUUAUUGGCCAGAUUGUUACAAAGACACAGUUGUAAUGAUAAAACAAUGUGAUAGAUGUCAGCGUAAUGCAGCAGAAAAAAGUACGUGUGACGUUCUUCACUCAGUCAAAGUGGUUCCUCGAGUAUGGUACCUGAUUGGUAUUGAUCUCAUUGAUGCACAUACAAAA